rnacentral:rRNA from 1 species
AUGGGAAGUUGUGGACCGGUCGCAGUCCACACUUCCCACUCCAGUCCGCGCUGCCUCCUCGAAACCCGACACUCCCCAAACCCUAGCUCUCCCUCUCCCUUUCCUCGAGCUCGCCGGCCGGCCGCCAGGCAGCCAUGGGAUGGUGGAACAUCGGUCGCAAGGGGGCGCACGACCACGAGGCUGGCUCGUCCUCGGGCCGCCGCCGCCGCGGCGGCGUCAAAGAGGAGCCUGCAUCACCACCACGACAUGUACCACGGAGGGCCCCCGCGCCGCCUGCAUUCACCAUCGCCCAUACGGCCGCCGGCGAGCACGACCGUCACUACAUCCAUGCGGAUGUUUGCCGACGUUAUUGGGAGACGAGGACGCUGCUCCCCUAGAGCGAUAUCCACCUCCCCAAUAAAUGGCAUCUGUCCGUGGAUCGGGUGCCGAUCCCGCCGGUCCCGAUGA